GUCCGGUCUUGCUCUCCUCCGUCGGCGGUACGGUGCAGUCCCACCGCGAGCCUCCGACUGCAGCAUGCAGUUUUCACCUUUUGUGGCGCGUUUCUCUACAAACAUGGAGUUUAAAGCAGACGAGCCGCCGUGAACAGGAAUCUCUGUCUGAUGUGGAAAUGGACUCAUUUUCCUGCCAGCAAAGGCUACGCUUCAUCACCUACUGAAAGGUUCAUGGUUCUCCUGUCCCCGUUUGGCCCCGACUACCAAAGGGAGGAGGCACGGUGAAAAGGUCUCCACAUCUGCAGAGUCAGACCGUGAGACGACACAUGGGUGCUGAGAUGAGUUGAACAGGUGAAAUCAGUGAGGAAGUGGACACAACACCUGCCUGGGAAUGAUCAAGAAGUCGGGCACCAUAAAUGUAUCAAAUGAAUGAGUUUCAUCUAAAACAUGUUUAAUAAAAUGUUAAGCUGUUGUAUAAAAUUCAAGUAUUGGGCACAUGAAAAGUAACAGGGAUCCUACUGGGAGCACCCAGUGUGUCUUGGUCAAUCUGUGUUGAAAGAUGAUCUGUAAGAUUUCUUCUUCAGAUUCUCCAAGAAGAUCUGCUCUUCUUGGAGGUAUUCACGGUCCUGUAGGGAGGAAGACAAAGUAAUUAGGAACAGAAACACAACUUUCUUUUAAGUUUUGAAAUGUUAAGAAGCUUCUGGCAGAAGAUUCUUGUAACAAACUGAAUGUGUUGGAAAGCUGAUUGUGGGUUGAGCCAAAUGUUGUAAUUGUUUCAUAUAAACAUUAAAAUCUUGUACCGUA